rnacentral:tRNA from 1 species
GGAGCUGUAGCUUAAUGGUAGAGGGCUUGCCUAACAUGCAUGAGACCCUGGGUUCAGUCCCCAGUAUCUGCC